rnacentral:lncRNA from 1 species
AUGACGUCAGACGGGGAAGGGAGAUGCGGCGCUUCCGCAGACGCCUUAUCAACUUUUAUCAACAAAGAAACGGACUAACAGCAGCGGACAGAGAGAGGAGCUUCUGAAACAGGUUGAUUCCUGCUGCGCGUUGGCUCUCCCUGGUUUAGAACUGGUCUGUCCUGAUUCUUGCUCUGAGUCACAUGUCUCUAAAGAAGAGGAAGAGCCUCAGUCUGUUUCCUCCGUCUGCAGCUCAGGACUCGCUGGUUUUAUCUCCACCCCGAGAACACCUCAGUUCUUGGACUUGGAUCGAGUUCUUGGACCCAGGAUCGAGUCGAGACCAAGGCGAGCCUCCCAAC